rnacentral:lncRNA from 10 species
GUGGGGCGCCUGCGAUUAGGUUGGGAAGCCUGCGUUUAGGGUGGGGCACCUGCGAUUAGGUUGGGAAGCCUGCGAUUAGGUUGGGAAGCCUGCGAUUAGGGUGGCACUUUCGAGCGCUCUGGUAAGCUCCUGAAGAAAGCGUCUAGCUCCAACUGUGCUUCCUCCCUCCAGUACCCUCUGAACUCCUCCAAGCAGACGUUGUUUCCUGCAGACAUCGCUGGAACCAUUCUGGUUAACACAGAGUGGGAACUCAGUACACAUUUGUGAAGUGAACUCCUGGAAGAGCUCUUGUGAGGGAGGCACCGAAUUAUCAGGCAGCUCAAGAGAUAGAUUCACUCUCCUGAAAUUAGAGAUGGGAUGCCCUUAAUACAAUUCAUUCCACCCAUUAAGUCUUCA